rnacentral:rRNA from 1 species
GACGAACGCUGGCGGCGUGCCUAAUACAUGCAAGUAGAACGCUGAAGAGAGGAGCUUGCUCUUCUUGGAUGAGUUGCGAACGGGUGAGUAACGCGUAGGUAACCUGCCUUGUAGCGGGGGAUAACUACUGGAAACGAUAGCUAAUACCGCAUAACAAUGGGUGACACAUGUCAUUUAUUUGAAAGGGGCAAUUGCUCCACUACAAGAUGGACCUGCGUUGUAUUAGCUAGUAGGUGAGGUAACGGCUCACCUAGGCGACGAUACAUAGCCGACCUGAGAGGGUGAUCGGCCACACUGGGACUGAGACACGGCCCAGACUCCUACGGGAGGCAGCAGUAGGGAAUCUUCGGCAAUGGGGGCAACCCUGACCGAGCAACGCCGCGUGAGUGAAGAAGGUUUUCGGAUCGUAAAGCUCUGUUGUAAGUCAAGAACGAGUGUGAGAGUGGAAAGUUCACACUGUGACGGUAGCUACCAG